AGCGGCGGACGGGUGAGUAACGCGUGGGUAACCGUGCCUCAUACAGGGGGAUAACAGUUGGAAACGGCUGCUAAUACCGCAUAAGCGCACAGUACCGCAUGGUACCGUGUGAAAAACUCCGGUGGUAUGAGAUGGACCCGCGUCUGAUUAGCUAGUUGGUGGGGUAACGGCCUACCAAGGCGACGAUCAGUAGCCGACCUGAGAGGGUGACCGGCCACAUUGGGACUGAGACACGGCCCAA
rnacentral:rRNA from 1 species